rnacentral:tRNA from 1 species
UCCCUCAUAGCUCAGUUGGUAAAGAAACUGCCUGCAAUGCAGGAGAUCCAGGUUGGAUUCCUGGGUUGGGAA